UACGUAGGGGGCAAGCGUUGUCCGGAAUCAUUGGGCGUAAAGAGCGUGUAGGCGGUCCGGUCAGUCGGUUGUGAAAGUCAAGGGCUCAACCCUUGAAUGCCGGCCGAUACUGCCGGGCUAGAGUCCGGAAGAGGUGAGUGGAAUUCCUGGUGUAGCGGUGAAAUGCGCAGAUAUCAGGAGGAACACCGAUGGCGAAGGCAGCCCCCUGGGUCAAGAUUGACGCUCAUGCACGAAAGCGUGGGGAGCAAACAGG
rnacentral:rRNA from 1 species